rnacentral:rRNA from 1 species
AGAACGGACGUUGGCGGCGUGGAUUAGGCAUGCAAGUCGAACGAAUGCCAAGGGGGUAACUCUGAGGCGGAAGUGGCGAAAGGGGCAGUAAUGCAUGGGUAACUUACCCUGGAGUCAGGCAUAGCCGUCCUAACGGACGGGUAAUUCUUGAUGGCCCAGCGAGGUGGCAUCAUUUUGCUGGUAAAGAAUUUCGCUCCGGGAGAGACCCAUGUCGUAUUAGCUAGUUGGUGAGGUAACGGCUCACCAAGGCUAAGAUGCGUAGCAGGUGUGAGAGCACGACCUGCGCCACUGGCAUUGAGACACUGGCCAGACACCUACGGGUGGCUGCAGUCGAGGAUCUUCGUCAAUGGGCGAAAAGCCUGAACGAGCGACGCGCGUGCGCGAUGAAGGCCUUCGGUUGUAAAGCGCGAAAGUGGGACGAAGCCGAAAGUGACGAUCCACAGUAAGCUCGGCUAAGUCGUGCCAGCAGCCGC